rnacentral:lncRNA from 1 species
GCUGCAUGAUUGGGUCCUCUGGCCCCACCAAGCACUUUCAGAAAUUGCUCUGGAUGAGGGAAAGAGGAAGUUUGCCCCAUCCACUCGUGUUGUGAGUUUCCAAGUGACCUAAUUUUCCUGCAGCGGUCCCAAGCUGACCUUCCACAGGUAAGGCUCUUUGUAGAUUUGUACAGUCAUCACCUCCCUCAGGAUCUGUGAUGGGAACGUCCAGUUCCGGUCAGCCGGUGGGCCCGUAAUGCGAGGAGAGGACCCUGAGCCGAUAGUCAAGACCAGCCAUACGGGUAAUCGCUUUCUACUACCAUGCAGAAGCAGGAUGGACUGGAUGGGAUGGUCAGACACAAACUUCAGGAACUCCGAGAUUGUGGGAGCACUGCUCAGAUGUUGCCGAGACCGUGUCACCCAUCGUGUUUCGUUCACAAUAAGUUUCCAGUAUGUGAGUCUGAAAGACCCUCGGCCCUUUCUUCCUGUCAUCUCUGAGCCUCAGCUUCCACAUCUGCAAACUGGAAAUGACACCUUGCUCUUGCUCUCAGGCGUGGGGUGAAAAUCAAGCGUGGUCGUCUUUAUGAAGUGCUCAGCACACAGGAGGUACUGAAGAAAUUAGGACACCGUUUCCAGAAUGUGUCCAUGGGAGCAAAGGAUCAUGGCUUGGUUUAGAUCCUCUUGCCACCUGUGCAGACCCCACUUGCACUUCAUUUCUUGAGCCUUUUGCUGUAAUUUCAGCUACAUUUUGUUUCCUUUCACAGGGCCAGCAACUAUUCUCAGAGGGUCUUGGGCAUCUCUUUGGAAAUGGACCUCUUUAACUCUGCUGUGAUGCCAGGAGGUAGCCCAGCAUCCCAGACCCUGCCUUUCUCUGAGCUGCAUUCUUUCCUGGCGGCCGUGGACGUCUGACAUUGAAGCUGAUGUCACUCCGCGUCAAGUUGGGGCUGGAGGGUGCUUGGUAACUGGCAGUGCCCAAAGGUCUCCUGUCUUUCCUUCUCUGUAUAAAGUUCCUUCUUUUCUGGGCAGGGGUUAAUUUGGUGAAAAUCAGGUGAAGACUUUGACGGUUGGGUGUGAGAGUGUUAAGCGUAAAGACGAAUGGCUCUAAGGUGCAUUCAAAGACCCUCGUGACCUCUAGAGUCAGACACACCUCUGGUUCCUCUAUUGCUUUGUUCGCACCAGUUUUAUCCAGAAGGUGGCAUCGCAGAGCCUGAUGUGCACUCCCCAAAGUCCAAAGGAUCCACAUUUCUUUGUGGUUAGACACUAAC